GGGGAGGCCGGAUCCUGGGCUGUGUCCCCGCGCCCUGUACCCCGGUCUGCGCUGUUGGAUUCACGCUCCCGCCCCGCAGCCCCCU
rnacentral:pre_miRNA from 1 species